rnacentral:piRNA from 1 species
UGUCAAUCCUUGAUACAUGAAGUGCGUAG